GACAGAGGGUGCAAACGUUGCUCGGAAUUACUGGGCGUAAAGAGCGUGUAGGCGGCCCGGUAAGUCCGCUGUGAAAGUCGGGGGCUCAACCCUCGAAUGCCGGUGGAUACUGUCGGGCUAGAGUGCGGAAGAGGCGAGUGGAAUUCCUGGUGUAGCGGUGAAAUGCGCAGAUAUCAGGAGGAACACCGAUUGCGAAGGCAGCUCGCUGGGACGUAACUGACGCUGAGACGCGAAAGCGUGGGGAGCAAACAGG
rnacentral:rRNA from 1 species